rnacentral:rRNA from 1 species
UACAGAGGUGGCAAGCGUUUUGUUCGGAAUUACUGGGCGUAAAGGGCGCGUAGGCGGUUCGUUAAGUCCUGUGUGAAAUCCCCCGGCUCAACUGGGGAACUGCACAGGAAACUAGCGGGCUUUGAGUUCGGGAGAGGGAAGCGGAAUUCCGGGUGUAGCGGUGAAAUGCGUAGAUAUCCGGAGGAACACCGGUGGCGAAGGCGGCUUCCUGGACCGACACUGACGCUAGGCGGCGAAAGCUAGGGGAGCA